rnacentral:rRNA from 1 species
CCUACGGGAGGCAGCAGUGGGGAAUAUUGCACAAUGGGCGCAAGCCUGAUGCAGCAACGCCGCGUGAGGGACGACGGCCUUCGGGUUGUAAACCUCUUUUAGUAGGGAAGAAGCGAAAGUGACGGUACCUGCAGAAAAAGCACCGGCUAACUACGUGCCAGCAGCCGCGGUAAUACGUAGGGUGCAAGCGUUAUCCGGAAUUAUUGGGCGUAAAGAGCUCGUAGGCGGUUUGUCGCGUCUGCUGUGAAAACUGGAGGCUCAACCUCCAGCCUGCAGUGGGUACGGGCAGACUAGAGUGCGGUAGGGGAGAUUGGAAUUCCUGGUGUAGCGGUGGAAUGCGCAGAUAUCAGGAGGAACACCGAUGGCGAAGGCAGAUCUCUGGGCCGUAACUGACGCUGAGGAGCGAAAGCAUGGGGAGCGAACAGGAUUAGAUACCCUGGUAGUCCAUGCCGUAAACGUUGGGAACUAGAUGUAGGGACCAUUCCACGGUUUCUGUGUCGCAGCUACGACAUAAGUUCCCGUCCGUCGGGUAGGUACGGCCGCGAGGACGUAAACGUAACUAAUAGUUAAGUUAGUACGCGUUGAGACGNGCGACGGACGACGACGAGGGAGGAGG